rnacentral:lncRNA from 1 species
GGCUCAUAGCUGUGUUUCUUCCUAUAAUCUUCAUCCUGCUGAAUAUAGGAAUGUUUGUUGUCCUUUACAAAGUGAGGCAGCAAAAUACACAGUGUAAGAGUGAUAACUUACCUCAGAAAACACUGCAAGGGGCAGACAACAUCGCUUUUUAUCUUGAUAAGAACAGAACAUCUGCAGAAAAAGAUAAAGCUGGCCCAAUGACUGCUGAUCAGCAGAGGUCAAGUGUGAGUGAGUUUUACUGUGACAUGAAUCUGUCAAGUGUUCAGCUUGUGCCAAACAGUGAGCUGGAGUAUUAUGAAAUCGGGAGCAUCUCGAGUGCAUUUCAUUCAGAGAGUCCUUCACUCAAGCUCAGCUGGCACAAGCAUUAUUACAGCGCAAAAUGUGAGAAUAAUGAUACGAAGCAGUGGGGAGAGAUGUUGUUAGCAGGAUUUAAGGAGAAACACUCAAGUGGAGUGAGGCUUCAAAAUGCAACCUCUCUAAACAAGCAGUUGUUUACUAAGAUUGAUGCAGAGCAAUCCCAGCAUGCACCUUCUUUUUACAUGAAGACAUUCCUCCAACCAGAGCUCCUGGAACAUGUACAAUGCCUCACUUCGGAAGAAAUUUGUAAACUAAACACUCCUCUGGAGCAAACAAUUCCACAGCGAGCAUCUUUAAGAUCUGAGUCAGCCAGGUCUACCACAUUGAUCCACGUCUCAUCUGACAGUGACACAGAGAGCACAUUCACCUGCUCGGAGUUUUCAAUGACGGGCACCAGAAAAUAUACACAUGCCCAGUCAGCGCUUUCUUCAAGCUUCACACAACAUGACAAUUUACCUGUAAACAAACACAACUGUCACUCUGCUGCAAGCCAGUCUAAAGCUGAGAGUACUUCUUCCAGUGUAUUUGUAGAAUGGGAACGAUUUUUAAAUAUGCACCUCCCUUAUAGCAGCUAUGCUCCAGUGUUCGAGGACAUCGCAUGUCUACCUGUUCUACCCAGCUAUGAUAUUCAAAGUGACAUUGAAGAAAUUAUUUGAUGGUUGUUAUGUAGUACUCAAUGGGUCGCUUCAGGUGGAAAAAUACAAAAUAUUUAAAGAUUUGCACUUUAUGGCAAAUAUUUGUAUAUCAGUCAUAAUAACAGAAUGUGAUUACUUAGUAAAAAUCUAUCUAAAUAUUGUAUUAAUACUUUUU